CCUCACUAAGGUGAAACCGCGAAUGGCUCAUUAAAUCACACCUAAUCUACUGGAUAGUAGUCAGUUACUCGGAUACCUGCGGUAAUUCUGCAGCUAAUACGUGCAAACAAGCCUCGACUUCGGAAGAGGCGCUUUUAUUAGAUCAAAACCGAUCGGCUUCGGCCGUCCUUUUGGUGAUUCUGAAUAACUUUGAGCUGAUCGCAUGGCCUCGAGCCGGCGACAUAUCCAUCGAAGGUGUGCCCUAUCAUCUGUCGACUGUGGCAUAGACGCCCACAGUGGAUUUGACGGGUAACGGGGAAUCAGGGUUCGAUUCCGGAGAGGGAGCCUUAAAAACGGCUACCACAUCCAAGGAAGGCAGCAGGCACGCAAAUUACCCAAUGACCGAAGGUCGAGGUAGUGACGAAAAAUAACGAUAUGGGACUCAUCCGAGGCCCCAUAAUCGGAAUGAGUACACUUUAAAACCUUUCCAACGAGGAUCCAU
rnacentral:rRNA from 1 species